rnacentral:piRNA from 1 species
UUGGUUCCAACAAAACCUCAGAAUUAGGCCA